UACGUAGGUGGCAAGCGUUGUCCGGAUUUACUGGGCGUAAAGGGCGUGCAGGUGGUUUGUCUAGUCUAGGGUGAAAGCUCCCGGCUUAACUGGGAGAGGUCCUUGGAUACUGGCAAACUUGAGGGAGGCAGAGGAAAGUGGAAUUCCCGGUGUAGUGGUGAUAUGCGUAGAUAUCGGGAGGAACACCAGUGGCGAAGGCGGCUUUCUGGGCCUUACCUGACGCUGAGACGCGAAAGCGUGGGGAGCGAACCGG
rnacentral:rRNA from 1 species